UGAUCUUCACUACUCAGGGACUUGUAGAG
rnacentral:piRNA from 1 species